UACGGAGGGGGCUAGCGUUGUUCGGAAUUACUGGGCGUAAAGCGCGCGUAGGCGGCUUUGUACGUUAGAGGUGAAAGCCCGGAGCUCAACUCCAGAACUGCCUUUGAUACUGAAGAUCUUGAGUUCGGGAGAGGUGAGUGGAACUGCGAGUGUAGAGGUGAAAUUCGUAGAUAUUCGCAAGAACACCAGUGGCGAAGGCGGCUCACUGGCCCGAUACUGACGCUGAGGCACGAAAGCGUGGGGAGCAAACAGG
rnacentral:rRNA from 1 species